rnacentral:rRNA from 1 species
UACGUAGGGCGCAAGCGUUGUCCGGAAUUAUUGGGCGUAAAGAGCUCGUAGGCGGCUUGUCACGUCGGGUGUGAAAGCCCGGGGCUUAACCCCGGGUCUGCAUUCGAUACGGGCUAGCUAGAGUGUGGUAGGGGAGAUCGGAAUCCCUGGUGUAGCGGUGAAAUGCGCAGAUAUCGGGAGGAACACCGGUGGCGAAGGCGGUUCUCUGGGCCUGACCUGACGCUGAGGAGCGAAAGCGUGGGGAGCGAACAGG